CUGGGAAGUCAUUUGCCAGAUCACCCUGGGGAGAGGAGACCUGUUCCAGAGAGCCCUGGGAGGAAGACACCUGUAACAGGAUCUAAAGAGUGGGAGUGCGUUGUUACAUUCAACCCCAUGUAUUAAUUUACACUUCCCUGGACCAGGUACCUGGAUCACAGAUGGUGUGC